rnacentral:rRNA from 1 species
UACGGAGGGUGCAAGCGUUAUCCGGAUUUACUGGGUUUAAAGGGAGCGUAGGUGGGUCUGUAAGUCAGUGGUGAAAUCUUCGAGCUUAACUCGGAAACUGCCAUUGAUACUAUAGAUCUUGAAUUAUCUGGAGGUAAGCGGAAUAUGUCAUGUAGCGGUGAAAUGCUUAGAUAUGACAUAGAACACCAAUUGCGAAGGCAGCUUACUACGGAUAUAUUGACACUGAGGCUCGAAAGCGUGGGGAUCAAACAGG